CAUGCAAGUCGAACGCCAGCGCUGGAGCAUCCUGGCGGCGAGUGGCGAACGGGUGAGUAAUACAUCGGAACGUGUCCUGUAGUGGGGGAUAGCCCGGCGAAAGCCGGAUUAAUACCGCAUACGAUCUACGGAUGAAAGCGGGGGAUCGCAAGACCUCGCGCUAUAGGGGCGGCCGAUGGCGGAUUAGCUAGUUGGUGGGGUAAAGGCCCACCAAGGCGACGAUCCGUAGCUGGUCUGAGAGGACGACCAGCCACACUGGGACUGAGACACGGCCCAGACUCCUACGGGAGGCAGCAGUGGGGAAUUUUGGACAAUGGGCGCAAGCCUGAUCCAGCAAUGCCGCGUGUGUGAAGAAGGCCUUCGGGUUGUAAAGCACUUUUGUCCGGAAAGAAAUCCUCUGGGUUAAUACCCCGGGGGGAUGACGGUACCGGAAGAAUAAGCACCGGCUAACUACGUGCCAGCAGCCGCGGUAAUACGUAGGGUGCGAGCGUUAAUCGGAAUUACUGGGCGUAAAGCGUGCGCAGGCGGUGAUGUAAGACCGAUGUGAAAUCCCCGGGCUUAACCUGGGAACUGCAUUGGUGACUGCAUCGCUGGAGUAUGGCAGAGGGGGGUAGAAUCCACGUGUAGCAGUGAAAUGCGUAGAGAUGUGGAGGAAUACCGAUGGCGAAGGCAGCCCCCUGGGGCCAUACUGACGCUCAUGCA
rnacentral:rRNA from 1 species